ACACACUGGCAUCCACAGGCACACAUACACACGGAUCCGUGUAUGACCUGAGCCAAAGUCAGACGCUUAACCGACUGAGCCACCCAGGCGCCCCUAAGUCUUAUCUCACCUUGUAGCCUGACCAUGUUCCAGGGCAGCAGUUUUAAAGUCUGUGUGUGCGCGCAUACACACACACACACACACAGGCUCACCUAAAUCUCAAGUGCCCCUCUGGGCAACUCAGUCAAUGAGGUCAAGAGCUGUUCUGGACAUGUCUCACAUGAGAACAGUGAGGGCCAGCGAGAGACUGUGGCUUCCCAAAGGCGCCAGGUUUCCUCUUCACUGAAAAAAAACACAAGCCAAGAAGAGGCCCCAAGUAUCCCCAUCCCCUCAAUUCCCCAGGAGGCAGCACUGCCAACCAGCAGAGCCGAGGCAAGAGGCCCCAGAAGCAAAGGGAGAAUGGAAGGAAGCAGGCCCGGGGGUCUCUGGGGUGUGACUUUCCCAGCCCCGGGAAGAUGGGACCGGGCAGGAUCAGAGCAGCCUCCCAAGCCUGACACCAGCCGACCAGGCUCCAAGAGCACAGGACCUUGGCUAGAGAUGAAGGCAGAGGGCACAGAGGCACAGGAGGUGGGGUCAUGGUGGGGACUGCAGCUGAGAAAGGGGAGAGCGUUCCCACGAAGACUCGGCCAUCCCAGCCACCAGCUUGGUGAGAGAGAAUAGGCUGGUGAGAAUGGAAUUGUACAAUGGGAAGGGAGAAUACACCUGAGGGCAGCCGAGAGACCACCAACCUCACCCAAACUCCCCAUGGCCGGGGAAACCAUACACAGAUCCACGAUGGAGGCAUCCUGAAUAUGCAGCUAUGCAGCCUUACCUGAGACAUUGGCCACAGGGGAUGGACCUAGGCUGGCCGCACAGGUGAGCAGCUGGAAUGCAGAGACAAUAGUGGAGAACAACUGUGGCUGUUUAUCGAGGGCAGCCCCCCACCCCGGCUCUGUACUUGCACUGGCUCCGAUCCCUACACAGCCUUCAGAGGUAGACAUCAUACCCAUUUUACAGAUGGGGGAACUGUGGCUCAGAGAGCAGAUGUGACCUUCUCAAGGUCCCAAGGCCAGCAGGUGGCAGUCAGGGUUUGAACCCACAUGCCUCUGAUGCCCACACUUGCUAGUGGAACCAAGAAGGCAGCCAGGGAACCAGCCCAGCAGGAACCUGGGCCCAGCAGAGAGCUACAGCCCUGAAAGACAUAGAGAGGAAGACAAGAACGACAUGAUCUGUGGGAGGGAGAGGUAGGAGAGGCCCGGGCUGCACAAUGGGUUUGGGUGUCUGAACAGUUGUUACACAGAAGUGGCAGAAAGGGAAAGACUGCGGCACGAUGAAUGAAGGUCAGACAGCUGGGAGAACUGGAAGGUAGAAACAGAGGGCUGUGAGCCUUGGUCAACAUUUCAAAACAUCACCCUUCGGAGCUUUGGGGCUGGGAUUACACCAACUCAGCAUGGGAACAUACGCUAUUCCACGCCUCCUGGAAGUUCUAGUUGGUAGUUAAAAUGUGUUUGAUUAACAAAAAUAGGAAAAUGCAUGUAACUUCUCAAAACAUGAGGCUCACGGGGGAAAUAUUAAUGAAAGAGUCCUUCCAUUGUGCAUCAAAGCCUGGAACACACUUGAUGACAAAGGGGUUAAGGUGGUGCCCUAGAAGGGCUAUCUGCAUGCCCAAGUUCUAACUUUUCAAGGCUAGGAAAACAGGCGAAGGAACAUCGAGGGACACAAAACUUCUACAAAGCUCUCGGCACCCAGGAGAUCCCCACCCAUCUUUCCUGGCAGCUGAGAUGCCCCCAGGGAGGCCCAGGCUCCUAAGCAAGUCUCACCUCCCAUUCUUGCGUCUGCUCUCAGGACUAGGUCCUGAGUCCUGGGCUGGACACUCUGACCAGAGCCUAAUGCCGGCUGGCGGGGAGGAGCAGGUUCUGGUCAGCAGCAACAUAGGGCUUCUGGCUCCAUUCAUUAACUAUGUGAGGUUGGGCAAGCCGUUUGACCUCUCCCCUGUUUCCCUCUCCUUCCCACCUUCCCCUGCUGUCCGUGCUAAAACUGGAAUAAUAAUAACAGCAACUUCCUCACAGGGCUGUUUUGAAAAUUCAUUGGCAUGAUCCGUGUAAUGUGCUUAGCAUGGAACCUGGUCCUAAUUGCUUAAUAAGUGGUAACCACUGUAAUUAUGAUCAUUAACUAUCCUGUCUGAGAUCCACAGUUGGGCCCUUUGGCACUCAAGGCCCUGAUGAGCCUGGACCACAGGAAGCGGCAGGGUGGGCAGCAGCCCGCAGGACAAAGGAGGCUGAGAGGGGAGAGCAGGCCAACCUCAUCCUCUCCAGGAAUGUGGCUGGCGGCUGGGAGGGUGGGGGGCGAGGGGAGAUGCCUCGCCGCUGAGGUCAGGCCCUAUUUGGAGCUGGCAGAGUGUUUAUCACCCUCACGUGUGAGGGGAGGGGGGGCGGUGGGGAUUGGAGAGGGAGAGGAGGGGAGGCGGCUGCCGGGAGGAGGGGGAGGCCUCCCUGAGCGGAAAGGACCUUCACCUUUGCCAGGGUCCCGGGAAAGACCACAGGCCCGUCCGCUCGCUCCGCGAGGGGGGUGGGGCAGCAGGGGUACCGGCUGCACACAUCAGCCGCCCCCCACUCGCUGCCUCAGCCCGGAACAGGACGUCCACCCCACAACGGGCAUCGUUUCCAAAGCUCAUCACCACAACCCAGCAAGCUAGAGCUCACCAUCCUUGUCUCACACAUGAGGAAACUGAGGCUGGGGCUGCUGACGCUCCCUGCCGAAGGGUGCCUGCUGACACCAGUCGCUCGCUGACCCAUCACCCUGCCCCUCCAGACACACACACCACCUGUUCGGCCCUGCCCUGGCCCAACACAACCUCUUCUAUUCUUGAGAUUCCAGUUAAGGGGCCCCAACUGCUUCUUCGUUCCCUGCUGCCCCUUUUCUGGCUCCCCACCACCAGAAGGCACCCCCCGGAACCAACCCACCUCACUCCAGCUGCUGCUUCAACCUGUUUCCUCCUAGACUGUCCUCCACAAAGACCAAGACAACUCCCUGGUUACCCUCCGUGGUUGUGGUCGUACCCACCCCUCUACUGAAGCGAGAGCCACCCUGGGCCUCAGUUUCCCCUUAUGGAAAGGACAAGUGGCCCACAGGGAGGGAGGGGGGAUGCCAAGACCCCAAGGGCAGGGGAGAGCCUUGGGGAUAUAUUUAGAGCGUUCCUCUUGCAUGAAGGCACCCUUCUCCCUAGUUUCCACAUCUUCCCCAAUUCUGUAAAAGCCGGACCUCUCUCCCUCCCCCUCUCUGCCACCUACAAAACUUCAGUGAACGCAGUCCUGUUAGAGAGACUUGCUCAGUGGCUCUAGCCUCCUUGCUGGUUCAAAUCCCAGGCCUCUCUGAAUCUCCACGCAUUCCCCACCCACGCCCUAGGAUAUUUCACACACACGCACGCGCACACAUGCACAAACACAUACACAUGUGUGCACGUGCACACAUGCCCUGUAGCCGCAAUUCCUGCCUGGGCUCUGUGGUUACCCACUGUGGUCUCUCUGAUUACCAUCUCCCAUACCGAUCAGAUCAGACAGAGGAACCGCUCCUCUGCCAGGGCCACCUUAGCCUCUCCCAGAAGACAAGGUACUGCGUGUUUCCCCGGAAAACUGGCUGCAAGUCCUGGAAGGAACCGGAAGCCAAGCCCUGUGGAGGGGGCGUUCCCACUCAGGCUUCUGAAGCAAGCAUUUAAGAUCCUCCUUCUGGGGCGCCUGGGUGGCUCUGUCAGUUAAGUGUCCAGCUUCGGCUCAGGUCACGAGCUCACGGUCCAUGAGUUCGAGCCCCACAUCGGGCUCUGUGUUAACAGCUCCAAGCCCUGGAACCUAAUUUGGAUUCUGUGUCUCCCUCUCUCUCUGCCCCUCCCCCACUCACAGUCUGUCUCUCAAAAUGAAUGUUAAAAAAAAAAAAAAAAAGAAAACAAAGUGAAUAUCGAAAUAAAGCUAGCCAAAUGAAUUUU